rnacentral:tRNA from 1 species
GCGCCUGUAGCUCGGUGGAUAGAGCGUCUGUUUCCUAGGCAAAAAGUCGUAGGUUCGACCCUUACCUGGCGCG